CCUUCAGGAAGUCAGAGCUGGUGACCACAAGGAUACUCAAGGUAGAGGAGAGAGCAGGAGUCCAAGGUCCCCAAAGCCUCCUACCUAAGAGGAGUCCCUUCGUGCCUUGGAAGACCUUAUCUGGCUGCAGAGAAACUUAUGCUAUAACCAGCUCUAAGGCUCUGAGUGUGGAGGAAAGAAGAAAAGUGGACUCAGCUCUAUAAUAAAUGGGUCUGCCCUGAGGCUGACACAUCCCUUCCAUUAUACCAUUAAUCAUCCAAACUUCAGAUGGGCAGAGGGACCUGCAGUGAAGUAAUCCGAUCCCCAUUUCACAGAUGAGGAGGACAAGGCAGCAAGAGGUUAACUGAUUUUUGGAGACCACACAAUGAGGAUAUGGAGGAGCCAGGCCUGGCCCCUGCCGUGAACUCCACUGACCAUAUCCAUGAGUUCACUCAUGAAGAAGUGCUGGCUGGCUGGAGGGCCAUACGCCACACUGCCAAUGCCAGGGCACUUGACUCAGAGUAGGGUCCUAGCAGGAACUCCACAUUCCUGCCUUCAAAGCAUCUCUCCCCACUCAGGGGUCUGGCCAAGGUUCUUUUCUGAAUCCCAUUUCCUCACCUUUAAAAUAGUUAAAAAUCAUAAUGGUCUUUAAAUGCAGUUCCUUUAGACUUGUACGUGAAGAAUCUCUAAUACGUCGUGGGAGUUCAGCAGUGCUGUCCACCUCUGACAUUGCAACUUCUCACAGCUAAAAGACUAGUUUUUCCUCUUACUCCUGGACUAAGAACCAGCCUCUGCCAUGAGCCCAUCAGGAAGCCAGGAGAGAAUGGACAGGGCCAACACAGUGCCUCCAUGCUCUGAUAAGAACAGAUGAGAUUUCAGCCAAAUCCUAAGGAUGCUAAGAAAUAGCUAUGAUUAUAAACAUCAUCUUCCCCACAACUCUCCACCACAAAUACCAUUGCUUUCCUGUUCUGGGAUUCUGCAUAUUUAUAAGAAUUAUCAUUUUUUCCAUCUUAAAGAGGUAUCCCUAUGUAAUGAAUAAACAGUUUAAACAUUC